GAAGUCGGAAUUGCUAGUAAUCGCGGAUCAGCAUGCCGCGGUGAAUACGUUCCCGGGCCCUUGUACACACCGCCCGUCACACCAUGGAAGUUGGUAACACCCGAAGCCUGUAGCCUAACCGCAAGGAGGGCGCAGUCGAAGGUGGGGAUUGAUGACUGGGGUGAAGUCGUAACAAGGUAUC
rnacentral:rRNA from 1 species